UACGUAGGUCGCAAACGUUGUUCGGAUUUACUGGGCUUAAAGGGCGUGUAGGUGGUUUCGUAAGUCAAGGUUGAAAUCCGGCGGCUCACCCGCCGAACUGGCCUCGAUACUGCGGAACUAGAGUCACGGAGGGGUGCGUGGAACUUGUGGUGGAGCGGUGAAAUGCUCAGAUAUCACAGGGAACACCCGAGGCGAAGGCGACGCACUGGCCGUGUACUGACACUGAGGCGCGAAAGCGUGGGUAGCGAACGGG
rnacentral:misc_RNA from 1 species